rnacentral:rRNA from 1 species
AUACGUAGGGGGCAAGCGUUAUCCGGAAUUAUUGGGCGUAAAGCGUGCGUAGGCGGCUUUUUAAGCGUGGGGUUCAAGGCUAUGGCUCAACCAUAGUAUGCCCUGCGAACUGGAAGGCUUGAGUACAGGAGAGGAAAGCGGAAUUCCUAGUGUAGCGGUGAAAUGCGUAGAUAUUAGGAGGAACACCAGUGGCGAAGGCGGCUUUCUGGACUGAAACUGACGCUGAGGUACGAAAGCGUGGGGAGCAAACAGGAUUAGAUACCCUGGUAGUCCACGCUGUAAACGAUGAGCACUAGGUGUCGGGGUCGCAAGACUUCGGUGCCGCAGUUAACGCAAUAAGUGCUCCGCCUGGGGAGUACGUUCGCAAGAAUGAAACUCAAAUGAAUUGACGGGG